rnacentral:rRNA from 1 species
GACGAACGCUGGCGGCGUGCUUAACACAUGCAAGUCGAACGGAAAGGCCCUGCUUGCAGGGUACUCGAGUGGCGAACGGGUGAGUAACACGUGGGUGAUCUGCCCUGCACUUCGGGAUAAGCCUGGGAAACUGGGUCUAAUACCGGAUAGGAGCCAUUUUUAGUGUGAUGGUUGGAAAGUUUUUUCGGUGUAGGAUGAGCUCGCGGCCUAUCAGCUUGUUGGUGGGGUAAUGGCCUACCAAGGCGGCGACGGGUAGCCGGCCUGAGAGGGUGGACGGGCACAGUGGGACUGGGAUACGGCCAAGACUCCUACGGGAGGCAGCAGUGGGAAAUAUUGCACAAGGGGCGCAAGCCUGAUGCAGAGACGCCGCGUGGGGGAGGACGGCCUUCGGGUUGUAAACGCCUUUCGCUAGGGACGAAGCUUUUUGUGACGGUACCUAGAUAAGAAGCACCGGCUAACUACGUG